rnacentral:snRNA from 1 species
UCUCACCUUAUGUUUUGAGUCCAUUUAAUCAUACAGAGAAGAUUAGCAUGGCCCCUGUGCAAGGAUGGCACGUAAAUUCAUGAAGCNUUCCAUAUUUAA